AAGAGAUAUGCGGUUAGGAUGAUGCGGGCCCCAUAGGGUUGAGUGGGUGGUUGGUUAAACAGUAUAAUCUAAUGGUUGAAAAUGAUCCGUCGAGUAAAUCUAACGGUAAAAAACUUACAAUCACCAAGUGAUUGGUGCUUUUACAAACACCAUAGCUGGACUCUCUCUCUCUCUCUAUAUAUAUAGAAUUAGGCUACUAUACUAUUUAUAAUACCGAAGCUCCGGUACUAUAGUCUUGUUUUCAAUCUUAGGGUGUUCAAAUUAACGAUCCACACCAUUAAAUAUGAUCUAGAGUAUAUAAAAUUUGAGUAUAGGACUUUUAAAUUCAAGAUAAAAAAAUGUUCACCUUAAUCUAGUUAGUUUAAAGUAUUUUCUAUCAAAAUUUGGAAAAUUUUAUAUUUUUCCAACAUAGUUUUACUUUAUGAUCAAACCAUUCUAAAAUUGUCAUUUUUCAAUGGCUACUAUGGCGAGUUUGGAGUUUAACAGUGUAGAAAAAUCUAAAUUUUUCCAAAUUUUGAUAGAAAAUACUUUAAACUAACUAGAUUAAGGUGAACAUUUUUUUAUCUUGAAUUUAAAAGUCCUAUACUCAAAUUUUAAAGAUUAUUCAAUUUUCACCGUCCUUUUGACAUAAUUUAUUUACUAAGUAAACGAUGUCGACCUCAAAUUUUAAAGAUUAUUCAAUUUUCACCGUCCAUUUUGACAUAAUUUAUUUACUAAGUAAACGAUGUCGAAAAAAACUAAAAUUUUAUUUCUAAGAACUUUAUAUACUCUAGAUCAUAUUUAAUGGUGUGGAUCGUUAAUUUGAACACCCUAAGAUUGAAAAC
rnacentral:lncRNA from 1 species